GGAAGCGCGUGAAAGGUCCGGUGGUAAGCUCUCCGCGUGGGUUCCCUUGGCAACCCGGACGCUCUCGCUCUGUCCGGACCGGCGAUCCCAGGAAUCCCCAAAGGACGUUUAUCUCAAUUCCCCACGAUUCCUGGAAAUACCCCGAGACCUCAGAGGUGCUCGGCGCUCCCUGCCGAGGCUUGUCAGCGCCGAUUACUUCCAUCUCACGAAGGAACAGCCACUGGGCUUGCCUCCUCCCGCCCCAGCGUGGCCAGGGGGCCCCGGGUAUCCAGAGGGAAUUCAUAAACAGCCUUGGCCGUGUUGACAGGAAACUGGGCAAAUGGCUUAGGUUACGGGGAAAGGAGGCCUCUGGGAGACUCAGAUGCCAGCUGCUCUCGUCAUCAGCCGGAGAAGCAGCCCCGGGGCCUGGGACGGGCACCUCGGUUCUUCAGCUCCACGUAUAGCGCAGAGCGGAAGCAUCCACGGCCUCGUCUUCGGGUGAAACGGUGACACAUUCCGGCGCCUUUCUUGGCAUCACUUUACUCUCAACAGUCGGACAAGACGAUUCUAAGGAAGGAAUAGCAAGCAUAAGCCCCGGGUGACAGAUAGAAAGAAACUAAAAAUGAAAUUGGUAAGCGAUUUAAGCGACGCAGUGAAUCGGUCCCAGCUGAGUCACCUGGCUUUUUGUCGCCCUGCCUGGAAUGCCGCUGUGGGUUCACACCUCGUAAAGGUAUCACGGGAUCAUGUCCAUUCGGAUUGUCUGUUCUUACUCCUUCAGACUAGUAAUGGCCGUGACAGUGACCACAGAGGCUAACGCUCGGCUCUUCCACGCGGCAGGCUCUGCUGAGUGCUUCGCAGGAAUGAACCCCGGACGCCUCCCGGCCAGCGCCCCUGUCCAGCAGGUGCUGUGUCCACUUGUGUUUCCCAGGUGCUGAGAUGGAGGCACAGAAGAGAGUCUCGGUGACCUGCCCCCUGGUCGCCCGUCACCCCAGGGGCAGAGCUGGGGAGGGACCCGGGGCCCCUGGCUCCACACUUCAGCUCCGCUGCUUCCAUGUCCGUGAGGAUAAGGGAGGAACCGCUUUUGCAAAUUGCUUCUCCCAGAAGGUGGAACCGCAUCACACACAGAGGAGUAACACACCGACUCCUCCAUCUCCCAAGUGAGAAGGAAGGAGGAGCGAGGGGGGAAAGGGAGCCAAGGACAGACAGGACCCACCUGUGGCCCGGGUGCGCGGCCUCUGAGCUAAGCGGGAGGAGGGGGGCGGGGGCGGGGUAAGCCAACGUGAGAGAGGUGCCCGCGACGUCGAACACAAACACCGGGACCCGGGAUUGCGCCCGAACCCGGAUCAUGGGACAGACCCUGCUCUCCAACCCGUCUUCCAGCAACAGGAUCCCAGGGCCAAGUGCGGUAACCGCUGGCCAGCAGAGCGCUCCGGGCGCGGCCAGGACUGCAUGCCAACCGCCGGGCUCCCAAUAUUGUCUUCCAGUUGCUAGACGACGCUGCUUUCCAGUACAUUAUCUGGGGUAUAAAAGCUGAAAUGUAAGUAAAGCAUUUUCAUACAAAUAAUUUCAACCGCAACAAGGCCAUUGGCUUCUGAUGGAGUUGGCAGGAAAAGGUAAUGAACUCACUCCGAUGGACAUAUUCAGCGUUCCUCCGGCCAAGUCCAAUUGGCAGCUUCGUAAUGAUGGAAACGUCCCUGUUAUUUCCACUCCACCAGGGCUAGGCCCGCUGGUAUCUGAUUCAGUGUUUACUUCAUGAAUGAGGUCAGUUCCCAGCACAGCUGGGGUUUCGGCAGAGGGCUCGCGCUGCUGGUCAGCACACAGCGUUCCCACUAGAACCUGACCGGAGCUGACAGGGCUCCCAGGGCCCCCUUCCCGCAGCCUGCCCAGGGUGGCCACUGUCUCUGGCAUUUUCUGGGGUCUGGCCCCGCUCGCUGCUCUGCUAGCCCCUUCCCUGCAGAGGCCGACAGAGCCCGGGCUGCAGCCUGGCACACCGAGGGCACGUCCAAGUUCCCCACAACCCAGCACUCACCCUCCAACUUGCCCCCUUGGUAUUGCGACAUCUCACCCCGUAGGAGCUUCGGAGCUGCCAGGAAACAGGGUAGGUUUGUUUGUUUUGUGUUUUUAAAAUUAUUUAUUCCAGGAUGGCUCCACUUGUGUGGUGAGAGAGUGACUCAGAGUGCCUGGGACGCCACCUCCAAAGGUAACCAUGUCCCACAGGCCGGCGUGUCCCGGGCCAACUCCCCACACUGGUCAAAAACAAAAACAAAAGCUCCCACGGGCCCAGAACACUCCUCUGCACGAGCACACACGUAUGGAGCCGUGUCCUUGCCGCUCGCGGAGGGACUGGGGAAACUGCGGGGCAGUAAGGAAAGGGGGCAGCCCGCAGCCUGACAGGGCUCAGCUCCACGCGGCUUCAGAAGCCGCCAGGGGCGCGCCCGUCCCUGGCCUGUCCCCCCGCGUCCUGAGCCGUGCGAGUGGCCGUGGGCCCCGCGCAGCGUGGGGUUGAAGUCCGAGGCGGCUCCGUGGCGAUUUCUCAUCUCAGUGCCGUCAAGUGGCAGGAGGCUCAGAGAGAGCCAUUGGUUUGGAUCCCAAAGUAACUGGGCAUCAGACGCUCGAGCAGGGUUGCCGAACGAAGUCUGGGGGUGAAGCUGGAGCGGGAGGUGGUUUAAGAACGGGGUGCAAAGGCAGACCCCUGAGGAAGCGCCCCCUUUCUCAGCCUCCACGAGGCACAGUGUGUUCCCAGCGCCACGUUCUCGCCUCCUAACAGGGUGGUGAGACCCUCGGCCGCUGAUGCAGACGCAAGAAUAGAACCGCGUGGAGGAGACGCCGUCCCAGCUUUCUUCCUUAGCCCUGAGCAGGGGCCGUGUUAGGUGAAGACUCGGCGCUCUCCUACCUAAAGGGUCCGUCCGGCUGCCACAGGAGGACGCAGAGCAUCUCUCCCGACUCGAGAGUCGACAUUCCUGUGGGGUCCAGAGAGCCUGCUCAGGGCCAUUCAGGUCCCUGCUCUUCCACGCGUCCUCGAGGCGCAACCUGCCUCAGACCCCAGAUGCUAGGCCGUCACCCCGCUCCUGGCACCCCAGUGCUAGUUCCUGCCAUCAGUCCUGUAGCCUGUCUUAUCCACCGUUGUCCCAGUCACGUCAUCGUAUCACCUACCUGGUCUUUCCCCUCGAAGAUGCUGCUGGAAGUUUUUGAAGAUGGGCCCUAGCAAAGCUCAUUCAUUCGCACUCUCUGGUCCCAUCGCCGACGCUUUCUGCCCGCUCGGCUGCAGCUGCAUGGCCGCCUUGCUGAGACGUGAACUCGCCACUCGCCGACCUCAGGGCCUUGGCACGUGCCAUUCCCUCCGCCUACAACACUCUUUCCAGGUCGUCCACACGGCACCCUCCCUCCUUCCCUCACAUGCCCAACAUUCGGUGAGACCUCCCCACCACCCUGGUCCCUGGUCCCUGCACCUUCCACACACGCCCCCUCCUUCGUGUGAUUUCCCACGAGCUCCCAUCCCCUCGAAAACAGCCCACGCGGCUUGUGUCUUCCUUAUCUGCCUUCCCCACUGGAUGUCAGCUCCACGCAGGCAGGGAAUUUUCACACUUUUAUUCGCUGCCACAGCCCCCCGCCCAGAACCAUACCCGGCGUAUCCACAGGAAUCAAGGCGUGGCCCCUGCACACCAGUCACUCGCCUCAGCCCUGGGCAUUUCUGCCAGUUUCCCCAGUGACUGAGGACUUCACCCUCCGUGAAGCGCUAAGCAAGCUCUUGAAGCUGCAGGAAGCUGCGUGCCGGUUCCCGGGCGAGCCGUGUGGACAGGCCAUGCUCUGCCUCCGCCGCCCCUGCACCGCCCCCGGGACUCUGUGUGCCCCGCUUUCCCAGGGCCCGGCAGGCGGGUCCCUCCAGAGGAAGACAGAGCCUCGGUGACUGAGGAAGGCAGGUGCCCUCCUCCAGGGCCCCGGCUCCUGGCUUCCGUGAGCUCCCGGGAGGAAACCAUCUGCAGGCUGGCGCUCGCUGGUGUGAGCAGAGCUCUCCCUGGUCGGCUGUGGGUGAGGCAGCCUCGCAGGCCGGCGGCCAUUACCCAGGCUUUCCAGACGGCGAUGCUCAAGCCACGGGCAGAGGGACAGCAGCCCGCUGGAACGUCUGGGUAAGGGACACCCGAGGGAGCAGGCCUCCGUCGCCCUCUCGGCCCAGCUGUGACCCUGUAUUUCUCAGCCCACCGUGGUUACACACCGACCCCCCACCCCGGAGACCCGUCCCCGAGGCUCACCCAUCUUUCUGCUUUGAACACUGACAGCUGGUUACCCCUCACAGAUCAGAACGACGUUUCUUUCAUCUGCCUUGAAAAGCCUUUUGUGAGACAGGGAGUGACCCACCAGUAACCUCUCUAUUCCUGUCUGAAGGGGAAAUACUUCCAGAUCAGAGACCGCGCGGCGGUGCCAAGACCGGGCAUAUAUGAAUCCUGGAUUCUGCCUCCCAGGCCCCGUCCCUAACCCCGUGCCAGUCGCCGCUUCAGAAACGAGCUAGCGACGGAGCUGAGCCAUCGCGAAUCGGGGGGGUUGAUUCUUUCCCCCUAUUAAGUCGUUUGAAACCAACGUUUCCACAUUUUGGGGGGUUUGAUGUCAUAAAAUUCCCAUGUCUGACUGCA